GCGAGUCGGCGAAAGCGGCGGGAAGUUCGUACUGGGCAGAAGGCGGCGGGUCUGCGGCUUAGGUGAAAAUGCCUCGUGUAAAAGCAGCUCAAGCUGGAAGACAGAGCUCUGCAAAGAGACAUCUUGCAGAACAGUUUGCAGUUGGAGAGAUAAUAACUGACAUGGCAAAAAAGGAAUGGAAAGUAGGAUUACCCAUUGGCCAAGGAGGCUUUGGCUGUAUAUAUCUUGCUGAUAUGAAUUCUUCAGAGUCAGUUGGCAGUGAUGCACCUUGUGUUGUAAAAGUGGAACCCAGUGACAAUGGACCUCUUUUUACUGAAUUAAAGUUCUACCAACGAGCUGCAAAACCAGAGCAAAUUCAGAAAUGGAUUCGUACCCAUAAGCUGAAGUACCUGGGUGUUCCUAAGUACUGGGGGUCUGGUCUACAUGACAAAAAUGGAAAAAGUUACAGGUUUAUGAUAAUGGAUCGCUUUGGGAGUGACCUUCAGAAAAUAUAUGAAGCAAAUGCCAAAAGGUUUUCUCGGAAAACUGUCUUGCAGCUAAGCUUAAGAAUUGUAUGUGAGCUACGUUCUUCUUGUUUUUAAAAAAUUGUUUUGAGUACAGUAAAGGCUAGUUUAUGUUGAAGCUUGGUCCUCUGCUGGCUGGUGUUAGGUACUGCAUUAACUUAUUC
rnacentral:sRNA from 1 species